rnacentral:rRNA from 1 species
AGAGUUUGAUCCUGGCUCAGGAUGAACGCUAGCUACAGGCUUAACACAUGCAAGUCGAGGGGCAGCAUUGGAGUAGCAAUACUUCAGAUGGCGACCGGCGCACGGGUGAGUAACACGUAUCCAACCUGCCGCUUACUCGGGGAUAGCCUUUCGAAAGAAAGAUUAAUACCCGAUGGUAUAAAGAGUUCGCAUGUUCUCUUUAUUAAAGAAUUUCGGUAAGCGAUGGGGAUGCGUUCCAUUAGAUAGUUGGCGGGGUAACGGCCCACCAAGUCUACGAUGGAUAGGGGUUCUGAGAGGAAGGUCCCCCACAUUGGAACUGAGACACGGUCCAAACUCCUACGGGAGGCAGCAGUGAGGAAUAUUGGUCAAUGGACGAGAGUCUGAACCAGCCAAGUAGCGUGAAGGAUGACUGCCCUAUGGGUUGUAAACUUCUUUUAUAAGGGAAUAAAGUGAGGGACGUGUCCCUUUUUGUAUGUACCUUAUGAAUAAGGAUCGGCUAACUCCGUGCCAGCAGCAGC